CAUGAAGUAUACAAUGAGCACCAGCUAAGGCCCUUAAAGGUCAAGGUUGGCUGGUGAGAUGAUAGAGGAUAAGCUUCAUCUUUGAAAGGGAAAUAGCGUGGAUCACUAGCUAAGGCUCCUAGAUGAUUGCUUAGUGAUAAAGAAGGUAAAGAGUGCAGAGACAACCAGGAGGUUUGCCUAGGAGUAGCCACCCUUGAAAGAGUGCAUAAUAACUCAUUGAUCGAGCACUCUUAUGCUGAAGAUGAACGAGGCUAAUCAAUCUAUUGAAGCUGUGGGAAGAAGUGGAAAUG
rnacentral:ncRNA from 1 species